GGUUAAGCGACUAAGCGUACACGGUGGAUGCCCUGGCAGUCAGAGGCGAUGAAGGACGUGCUAAUCUGCGAUAAGCGUCGGUGAGGUGAUAUGAACCGUUAUAACCGGCGAUUUCCGAAUGGGGAAACCCAGUGUGUUUCGACACACUAUCAUUAACUGAAUCCAUAGGUUAAUGAGGCGAACCGGGGGAACUGAAACAUCUAAGUACCCCGAGGAAAAGAAAUCAACCGAGAUUCCCCCAGUAGCGGCGAGCGAACGGGGAGGAGCCCAGAGCCUGAAUCAGUGUGUGUGUUAGUGGAAGCGUCUGGAAAGGCGCGCGAUACAGGGUGACAGCCCCGUACACAAAAAUGCACAUAUUGUGAGCUCGAUGAGUAGGGCGGGACACGUGGUAUCCUGUCUGAAUAUGGGGGGACCAUCCUCCAAGGCUAAAUACUCCUGACUGACCGAUAGUGAACCAGUACCGUGAGGGAAAGGCGAAAAGAACCCCGGCGAGGGGAGUGAAAAAGAACCUGAAACCGUGUACGUACAAGCAGUGGGAGCCUCUUAAUGGGGUGACUGCGUACCUUUUGUAUAAUGGGUCAGCGACUUAUAUUCUGUAGCAAGGUUAACCGAAUAGGGGAGCCGAAGGGAAACCGAGUCUUAACUGGGCGUUAAGUUGCAGGGUAUAGACCCGAAACCCGGUGAUCUAGCCAUGGGCAGGUUGAAGGUUGGGUAACACUAACUGGAGGACCGAACCGACUAAUGUUGAAAAAUUAGCGGAUGACUUGUGGCUGGGGGUGAAAGGCCAAUCAAACCGGGAGAUAGCUGGUUCUCCCCGAAAGCUAUUUAGGUAGCGCCUCGUGAAUUCAUCUCCGGGGGUAGAGCACUGUUUCGGCAAGGGGGUCAUCCCGACUUACCAACCCGAUGCAAACUGCGAAUACCGGAGAAUGUUAUCACGGGAGACACACGGCGGGUGCUAACGUCCGUCGUGAAGAGGGAAACAACCCAGACCGCCAGCUAAGGUCCCAAAGUCAUGGUUAAGUGGGAAACGAUGUGGGAAGGCCCAGACAGCCAGGAUGUUGGCUUAGAAGCAGCCAUCAUUUAAAGAAAGCGUAAUAGCUCACUGGUCGAGUCGGCCUGCGCGGAAGAUGUAACGGGGCUAAACCAUGCACCGAAGCUGCGGCAGCGACGCUUAUGCGUUGUUGGGUAGGGGAGCGUUCUGUAAGCCUGCGAAGGUGUGCUGUGAGGC
rnacentral:rRNA from 1 species